rnacentral:rRNA from 1 species
UGCGUAACGCGUGAGCAACAUGCCCGUAUCAGGGGGAUAAUCCAGGGAAACUUGGUCUAAUACCCCAUAGUAAUUUUGUAAGGCAUCUUAUAAGAUUUAAAGCUUUGGUGGAUACGGAUUGGCUCGCGUGACAUUAGCUGGAUGGUAAGGUAACGGCUUACCAUGGCUAUGAUGUCUAGGGGUUCUGAGAGGAAGGUCCCCCACACUGGAACUGAGACACGGUCCAGACUCCUACGGGAGGCAGCAGUGAGGAAUAUUGGACAAUGGAUGGAAAUCUGAUCCAGCCAUGCCGCGUGAAGGAAGAAGGUCCUAUGGAUUGUAAACUUCUUUUGUAUGGGAGCAAUAAGGCCUACGAGUAGGUUGAUGAGAGUACCAUACGAAUAAGCACCGGCUAACUCCGUGCCAGCAGCCGCGGUAAUACGGAGGGUGCAAGCGUUAUCCGGAUUUAUUGGGUUUAAAGGGUGCGUAGGCGGUUAUUUAAGUCAGUGGUGAA